GACGAACGCUGGCGGCGUGCUUAACACAUGCAAGUCGAACGGAAAGGCCUGUCCUUCCUUGUGUUGGACGGGUACUCGAGUGGCGAACGGGUGAGUAACACGUGAGUGAUCUGCCCCCAACUUGGGUAUAAGCCUGGGAAACUGGGUCUAAUUCCCGAUAGGACUGCAGGGUGGUGCCUGUGGUGGAAAACGAUGUUCUAGUGGUUGGGGAUGAGCUCGCGGCCUAUCAGCUUGUUGGUGGGGUAAUGGCCUACCAAGGCGGCGACGGGUAGCCGGCCUGGGAGGGUGGACGGCCCAAUUGGGACUGUGACACGGCCCAGACUCCUACGGGAGGCAGCAGUGGGGAAGAUUGCACCAUGGGCGGAAGCCUGAUGCAGCGACGCCUCGUGAGGGAUGACGGCCUUCGGGUUGUAAACUCCUUUCGACCGCGAGGAAGCCGCCUGGUUGGAAGGGUGGUGACGGUAGUGGUAGAAGAAGCACCGGCUAACUACGUG
rnacentral:rRNA from 1 species